UACGUAGGGUGCAAGCGUUGUCCGGAAUUAUUGGGCGUAAAGGGCGCGUAGGCGGUUCGUUAAGUCAGUUGUGAAAGCCCGGGGCUCAACCCCGGAGAGUCGACUGAUACUGGCGGGCUAGAGUACGGAAGAGGUAGCUGGAAUUCCCGGUGUAGCGGUGAAAUGCGUCAGAUAUCGGGAGGAACACCAGAGGCAGAGCGGCUACUGGGCCGUAUACUGACGCCUGACGUGACGCGAAGCAGGGGAGCAAACGGG
rnacentral:rRNA from 1 species